CCCGACCCACCCUUUUCCCUCUUCUUUUCUCCUUUUUGCAAUUCACAAGUAAUUUUCCCCUUCUUCUUCACAUAAGAGGAAAAUUGGGGAAAUGGCGAUGGAGAUUUAUCGAGCCCUAAGUCAUGGCCUAUCACCGCUGAUUCACUUUCGCCUGCGGUGGCGCUAAUUGCUCCUCCUCGAACAUCCUCUCCGCUGGCGGCGAACUUCUACGAUCAGAAUAUGCGCGAGUCAUCUGAUUAAAUGCUGCGUAGAAAAGAGGAAACUACCACACCAGCACUGUGAGUCUCAAUUUUGAAUCUAAAGACUAUAUUUCUGUUUACAUUAUAUUUUAUUUUGAUCCUUUGUUAUUUCGCUAAGUUUUUGGUGAUAAACAAAUUUUGUGAUGUGAUAAUGGUCUAACAGAUUAAUAUUUUGCAUUAAUUGUUAUAGUUUUUGUAUGGUUUCUCAUCUGACAGUGACAAUGAUCUUCUCUAUAUAAAUACUCAAGAGUAGUUUAGUUUU